UUUGUGUUUUUGGUUUUUUUUUUUUUAUUUAAUUAUUUAUUUAUUUUUAUUUAAUUAUAUAACUAUCUGAUUUAAAAAGCAAAUUUAAAAUAAAAUAUUUUCAUAUUUUAACUUUUAAAUUUUAAUAAAUCUAAAGAUGUUUAUCACACAAUAAAAUAUAGUAUAAUGGAAAAUGGAAGAAUGAAAGCCAAUGGGUAAUGCUGAUCAGUUGCAUAUUCAUGAAGUCCGGCUGAUAGCUAAAUUUUAGAUUUUCACAUUAUUUUAUUAAAGUUGUCCUUAUAUCAAAUAUUUCAGAAUCCUAAAAAACUUAUUUCAAAAGUUAAAAACACAAUUUUUUCAGCUAAACAUUAGUUAUGUAUUCAUUUUGUUAUCACUUGAUCUAAUAUUUUUUAAAAUUGAAAAUCAUUUUAAGGUAAGAAUGUUAAUUUUUUUUUUCUGCGUUAACUAUUUUAUUUACCUUUAAAUAUUAUGCGGAU